rnacentral:rRNA from 1 species
CGAACGCCGCGUGAGCGAUGAAGGCCUUCGGGUCGUAAAGCUCUGUUGUUAAGGAAGAACAAGUACGAGAGUAACUGCUCGUACCUUGACGGUACUUAACGAGAAAGCCACGGCUAACUACGUGCCAGCAGCCGCGGUAAUACGUAGGUGGCGAGCGUUAUCCGGAAUUAUUGGGCGUAAAGCGCGCGCAGGCGGUUUCUUAAGUCUGAUGUGAAAGCCCACGGCUCAACCGUGGAGGGUCAUUGGAAACUGGGGAACUUGAGUGCAGAAGAGGAAAGCGGAAUUCCACGUGUAGCGGUGAAAUGCGUAGAGAUGUGGAGGAACACCAGUGGCGAAGGCGGCUUUCUGGUCUGUAACUGGCGCUGAGGCGCGAAAGCGUGGGGAGCAAACAGGAUUAGAUACCCUGGUAGUCCACGCCGUAAACGAUGAGUGCUAAGUGUUAGAGGGUUUCCGCCCUUUAGUGCUGAAGUUAACGCAUUAAGCACUCCGCCUGGGGAGUACGGUCGCAAGACUG